UCCCUUCUAUCUUCUGUUUUUCCUUUUCCCUUUUCCCUUUCUUCAAUAUUUCUAUCUUCUUCUGUGAAAUCUUUUGAGUGUGGUUGUUGUUAGAUUCGAGUUCAUGACAAGAGUAUUGGAGCCUCCGAUUCUGCUAUGGUGGACGGUCCACAAACCCGAAGUCAGGUGGCUCAACCGAACUAAUGGCAGAGAGAGGGCGGCGAGGUUACAAUCUGAGAUGUCACACAGCUGAAGACUAAGCUGGAAAAAGAAAUUCCAUGAAUUCCGGAUAACGAUGAGAGAAGAACUACGGAAACUGUUGGAAUCUUGUUUGGAAAGAUCGAAAGAGUCAGAAGGAACCCCAAAUCCUUCGAAUGGAUUUUGUUGGAUUUUGGGGCUUGAGACUGAGUUUUUUUUAGUGUGCUUCUUUCAAAUGCAUUAUCGAUGCAUAGCUUAAGAUUAAUGUCAUCCUCUAUGAUAAAAGUACAUACAAAACAAAACUAGGAAGUAAACGGUAUAAUAGAGAUGAUAGAGAAAACGGCUGCAAGUAGAGAAAAAAAACUAAUGUUUAUACGUAAUUUGGAAAGAUCCUAUUUUUUACUUAAAAAAAACUAAUGUUUUGUUACCAUUGGCAUCAACAUCGCAUAUUCUCCUUCGAAAAAAAAACUAAAUAGAUUUCUUUUACAUUUUUCUCAAUUUACAUACGUAUAAAACCUGUAGUUUUGAAUCCUCGUCUUCCUGAAAUCAACGCAGGAAAGGCCAAAAUGCAGAUCAGUCUUCAACUUUUGAAAGUCGGGUGAAAGCUUUUGGUUUUGAAUUUCAAAGCUUUUCCACAAAAAAUGUGAGAAGCUAAAGACUGGUGACAAGAAAGAACCAGUCAAGAAAUGCAAAGCGUAAUGUGUCUUCUAGAGUUGGAUCAAAAACCGGUGCAGCCGUGAGACGGGAACCAUCAGCUCCAAAAGAGGAACCUAUUUCUGACAAUCGGGCUCGGACUUUUACAUAUCAACAACUGGCAAAUGCGACAAAAAACUUCAGAUCAGAAUCCAUGGUUGGGCAGGGUUGAUUUGGGUCUGUUUAUAAAGGAAAAAA